rnacentral:sRNA from 1 species
CCAAUAGCGUAUAUUAAAGUUGUUGCAGUUAAAAAGCUCGUAGUUGAAUUUCGAGAUCAAAUUGUUGGUCGUGCCUCGGUACGUACUGGCAUUAUUGAUUUCUCCUUUCUGAAGAACCUUGAUGUCAUUAAUUUGGUGUCUUGGGGAAUCAGGACCGUUACUUUGAAAAAAUUAGAGUGUUUAAAGCAGGCUCACGCUUGAAUACAUUAGCAUGGAAUAAUGAAAUAGGACGUUUGAUUCUAUUUUGUUGGUUUCUAGGAUCGACGUAAUGAUUAAUAGGGAUAGUUGGGGGCAUUAGUAUUCAAUUGUCAGAGGUGAAAUUCUUGGAUUUAUUGAAGACUAACUACUGCGAAAGCAUUUGCCAAGGAUGUUUUCAUUAAUCAAGAACGAAAGUUAGGGGAUCGAAGACGAUCAGAUACCGUCGUAGUCUUAACCAUAAACUAUGCCGACUAGGGAUCGGAUGAUGUUAAUUUUUUAAUGACUCAUUCGGCGCCUUACG